UACGGAGGGGGCUAGCGUUAUUCGGAAUUAUUGGGCGGAAAGGGCGUGUAGGCGGCUUCGUAAGUCUUGUGUGAAAGCCCUCGGCUCAACCGAGGAAUUGCACGAGAAACUGCGUGGCUCGAGUCCGGGAGAGGAUAGUGGAAUUCCCAGUGUAGCGGUGAAAUGCGUAGAUAUUGGGAGGAACACCGGUGGCGAAGGCGGCUAUCUGGACCGGUACUGACGCUGAUACGCGAAAGCCAGGGGAGCAAACGGG
rnacentral:rRNA from 1 species